AGGGCGGCGACUUACUCUCCCGAAAUCAACCAGUACCAUCAGCGCUAAUGUGUUUCACUUCUCUGUUCGGAAUGGUAAGAGGUGGGGCCACAUUGCUAUAACCACCC
rnacentral:rRNA from 1 species